rnacentral:rRNA from 1 species
UACGAAGGGGGCUAGCGUUGUUCGGAAUACUGGGCGUAAAGCGUGCGCAGGCGGUUCUAUAAGACAGAUGUGAAAUCCCCGGGCUCAACCUGGGAACUGCAUUUGUGACUGUAGAGCUGGAGUACGGUAGAGGGGAUGGAAUUCCGCGUGUAGCAGUGAAAUGCGUAGAUAUGCGGAGGAACACCGAUGGCGAAGGCAAUCCCCUGGACCUGUACUGACGCUCAUGCACGAAAGCGUGGGGAGCAAACAGG